rnacentral:rRNA from 1 species
AUGGCAGAAAUUGGAAAGAGGACACCCAAAGUUGGUAUGAGGUUCAGAGAUUCGGAAGAGGCUUGGGAGUUUUGGGUAGAUUAUGGGGGUCACAUCGGCUUUGAUGUGAGGAAAAGAUCCACAAUCAAAAGCAGAUGUGAUGGUGUGAUUACUUCACGCUGGUUUGUUUGUUCCAAUGAAGGCCAUCGAAGGAAAAACCAAACAGAUCAUGAGCCAAAGCGUAUUAGAGCAGAAACAAGAACCAAUUGUAAGGCUCAUGUGAUUGUUACAUAUGAUCGAGUUGCCAACAAUUUUGAAGUCACCGAAGUUGAUUUGGAGCACAAUCACCGCCUUCAAUUGCCACAAACCUGCCACUUGUUAGCAUCACAAAGGAAGAUUUCAGAAGUGCAAGCUUUCGAGAUAGAAACAGCCGAUGAUUCUGGAAUUAUGCCAAAAGCUUCACAUGAGUAUGCUUGUCGUCUAGUUGGUGGCCCUAACAACCUUGGUCACACUUACCGUGACCGAAAGAACCAUUUGCGAAGCAAGCGGCAGCGGGAGUUGGCUUAUGGACAGGCUGGAAGUAUGUUGAAUUAUUUUCGUGACAAGCAGGCUGAGAAUGCA